AAGACCCGUUCCACUUUACAUUUCUUCUAACGAGCGGUAAUUCUUGCAGGUGGUAUCGGAGGUUUGCUUGGUUCUAAAGGAGCAAUGGCUGCUUCAGCUUUAGGUCUUGGUAUGGGAGGGCACAAGAAGUCUGGAAAGAAAAGCUCCAAGUAUGGUUUACCACUGGGAGCAGGAGCAGGGUUGGGAGCUUUAGGAGCACUUGGAGCUGCAGGAUAUGCCGGGCAUAAACUAAAAAAACGCCAUGGCUCCGGGUCAAGUUCAAGCUCAGAUUCAGAUUAAAAUGAAUGUCGUCGUUGGUCAGAAAUAACCAUUUGUAUUAACAGAGUAGUAUUCCAGGCAGGUUGUAAAAUUAUAUUUAUAUUGAAGAAUUAUCCAACCAAACUUGCCAUUUUGCCAAUUUCUACACUUGGAGUUCUUUGGUUAUUUGAAACACUGUAUUAUUCUGUAAAAUAAAUAAAACCAAAAAAGA